GCAUUGCUGCUGUGGAAUAGAGAAGCUGCCGCCGAAUUGCCACUGCCGCAGAAACUCUGCCGCCCCUUUCUGACUGCCACCCCAAGCACCUGCUUGGAACGCUGGUGCCUGGAGCUGGCCCUGGA